UGCUGGAGGUAUCAGAAGUGCGAAUGCUGACAUAAGUAACGAUAAAGCGGGUGAAAAGCCCGCUCGCCGGAAGACCAAGGGUUCCUGUCCAACGUUAAUCGGGGCAGGGUGAGUCGACCCCUAAGGCGAGGCCGAAAGGCGUAGUCGAUGGGAAACAGGUUAAUAUUCCUGUACUUGGUGUUACUGCGAAGGGGGGACGGAGAAGGCUAUGUUGGCCGGGCGACGGUUGUCCCGGUUUAAGCGUGUAGGCUGGUUUUCCAGGCAAAUCCGGAAAAUCAAGGCUGAGGCGUGAUGACGAGGCACUACGGUGCUGAAGCAACAAAUGCCCUGCUUCCAGGAAAAGCCUCUAAGCAUCAGGUAACAUCAAAUCGUACCCCAAACCGACACAGGUGGUCAGGUAGAGAAUACCAAGGCGCUUGAGAGAACUCGGGUGAAGGAACUAGGCAAAAUGGUGCCGUAACUUCGGGAGAAGGCACGCUGAUAUGUAGGUGAAGCGACUUGCUCGUGGAGCUGAAAUCAGUCGAAGAUACCAGCUGGCUGCAACUGUUUAUUAAAAACACAGCACUGUGCAAACACGAAAGUGGACGUAUACGGUGUGACGCCUGCCCGGUGCCGGAAGGUUAAUUGAUGGGGUCAGCCGCAAGGCGAAGCUCUUGAUCGAAGCCCCGGUAAACGGCGGCCGUAACUAUAACGGUCCUAAGGUAGCGAAAUUCCUUGUCGGGUAAGUUCCGACCUGCACGAAUGGCGUAAUGAUGGCCAGGCUGUCUCCACCCGAGACUCAGUGAAAUUGAACUCGCUGUGAAGAUGCAGUGUACCCGCGGCAAGACGGAAAGACCCCGUGAACCUUUACUAUAGCUUGACACUGAACAUUGAGCCUUGAUGUGUAGGAUAGGUGGGAGGCUUUGAAGCGUGGACGCCAGUCUGCGUGGAGCCGACCUUGAAAUACCACCCUUUAAUGUUUGAUGUUCUAACGUGGACCCGUAAUCCGGGUUGCGGACAGUGUCUGGUGGGUAGUUUGACUGGGGCGGUCUCCUCCUAAAGAGUAACGGAGGAGCACGAAGGUUGGCUAAUCCUGGUCGGACAUCAGGAGGUUAGUGCAAUGGCAUAAGCCAGCUUGACUGCGAGCGUGACGGCGCGAGCAGGUGCGAAAGCAGGUCAUAGUGAUCCGGUGGUUCUGAAUGGAAGGGCCAUCGCUCAACGGAUAAAAGGUACUCCGGGGAUAACAGGCUGAUACCGCCCAAGAGUUCAUAUCGACGGCGGUGUUUGGCACCUCGAUGUCGGCUCAUCACAUCCUGGGGCUGAAGUAGGUCCCAAGGGUAUGGCUGUUCGCCAUUUAAAGUGGUACGCGAGCUGGGUUUAGAACGUCGUGAGACAGUUCGGUCCCUAUCUGCCGUGGGCGCUGGAGAACUGAGGGGGGCUGCUCCUAGUACGAGAGGACCGGAGUGGACGCAUCACUGGUGUUCGGGUUGUCAUGCCAAUGGCACUGCCCGGUAGCUAAAUGCGGAAGAGAUAAGUGCUGAAAGCAUCUAAGCACGAAACUUGCCCCGAGAUGAGUUCUCCCUGACUCCUUGAGAGUCCUGAAGGAACGUUGAAGACGACGACGUUGAUAGGCCGGGUGUGUAAGCGCAGCGAUGCGUUGAGCUAACCGGUACUAAUGAACCGUGAGGCUUAACCUUACAACGCCGAAGGUGUUU
rnacentral:rRNA from 1 species